rnacentral:rRNA from 1 species
GCAUAUCAAUAAGCGGAGGAAAAGAAACCAACAGGGAUUGCCCUAGUAACGGCGAGUGAAGCGGCAACAGCUCAAAUUUGAAAUCUGGCCUUCGGGUCCGAGUUGUAAUUUGUAGAGGAUGCUUUUGGUGAAGUGCCUUCCGAGUUCCUUGGAACAGGACGCCUUAGAGGGUGAGAGCCCCGUACGGUUGGACACUAAGCCUCUGUAAAGCUCCUUCGACGAGUCGAGUAGUUUGGGAAUGCUGCUCUAAAUGGGAGGUAAAUUUCUUCUAAAGCUAAAUACCGGCCAGAGACCGAUAGCGCACAAGUAGAGUGAUCGAAAGAUGAAAAGUACUUUGAAAAGAGGGUUAAAUAGCACGUGAAAUUGUUGAAAGGGAAGCGUUUAUGACCAGACCUUUGCCAGGCGGAUCAUCCGGUGUUCUUCACCGGUGCACUUCGCCUGGCUCAGGCCAGCAUCGAUUUCCGUAGGGGGAUAAAGGCCAUGGGAACGUAGCUCUCUUCGGGGAGUGUUAUAGCCCUAGGUGUAAUACCCUUAUGGGGAUCGAGGUUCGCGCUUCUGCAAGGAUGCUGGCGUAAUGGUCAUCAACGACCCGUCUUGAAACACGGACCAAGGAGUCGAACAUUUAUGCGAGUGUUUGGGUGUUAAACCCUCACGCGGAAUGAAAGUGAACGGAGGUGAGAGCCCUUCUGGGGUGCAUCAUCGACCGAUCCUGAUGUCUUCGGAUGGAUUUGAGUAAGAGCAUAACUGUUCGGACCCGAAAGAUGGUGAACUAUGCGUGGAUAGGGUGAAGCCAGAGGAAACUCUGGUGGAGGCUCGCAGCGGUUCUGACGUGCAAAUCGAUCGUCAAAUCUGCGCAUGGGGGCGAAAGACUUAUCGAACCAUCUAGUAGCUGG